rnacentral:rRNA from 1 species
GACGAACCGAGCGAACGUUGUUCGGAAUCACUGGGCUUAAAGGGCGCGUAGGCGGGCUGCCGCGUCCGGGGUGAAAUCCCACGGCUCAACCGUGGAACUGCCCCGGAUACGGGCGGCCUCGAGGGGGGUAGGGGCAUGCGGAACUGUGAGUGGAGCGGUGAAAUGCGUUGAUAUUCACAGGAACUCCGGUGGCGAAGGCGGCGUGCUGGACCCCUCCUGACGCUGAGGCACGAAAGCGUGGGGAGCAAACAGG